rnacentral:rRNA from 1 species
AGCGAACGUUAGCGGCGCGCCUAACACAUGCAAGUCGCACGAGAAAGGGAGCAAUCCCCGGUACAGUGGCGCACGGGUGAGUAACACGUAGAUGACCUUCCCUGGAGUGGUGGAUAACCUGCCGAAAGGCGGGCUAAUACAGCAUGGGACCACAUGGUUUUGACCGAGUGGUGAAAGCGGGCCUCUGUUCACAAGCUCGCGCUCUGGGAUGGGUCUGCGUCCCAUCAGCUAGUUGGUGAGGUAAUGACUCACCAAGGCAUCGACGGGUAGCUGGUCUGAGAGGAUGACCAGCCACACUGGAACUGAGACACGGUCCAGACUCCUACGGGAGGCAGCAGUGGGGAAUCUUGCGCAAUGGGCGAAAGCCUGACGCAGCGACGCCGCGUGGGUGAUGAAGGCCUCGGUGUAAG